rnacentral:rRNA from 1 species
GAUGAACGCUGGCGGCGUGCUUAACACAUGCAAGUCGAACGGAAAGACCCUGCUUUUGUGGGGUGCUCGUGAGGCGAGCGGGUGAGUAAAACAUGAGUAUCCUGUCCCUAACUUUCUGAUAACUUCAGGGGACUGGGGCUAUUACCGGAUAUGAGCUCUUGAUGCACGGUGUGGGUUGGAAAGUUUCGGCUGUGGGGGAUCGACUCGCGGCUUAUCAGCUAGUUGGUGAGGUAGUGGCUUACCAAGGCUAUGACGGGUAGCCGGCCUGAGAGGGUGAUCGGCCACACUGGAACUGAGACACGGUCCAGACUCCUACGGGAGGCAGCAGUAGGGAAUCUUCCGCAAUGGGCGAAAGCUUGACGGAGCAACGCCGCGUGAGUGAUGAAGGUCUUCGGAUCUUAAAACUCUGUUAUUAGGGAAGAACAAAUGUGUAAGUAACUAUGCACGUCUUGACGGUACCUAAUCAGAAAGCCACGGCUAACUACGUG